rnacentral:rRNA from 1 species
AUGGAACGGAAGGAGGUCAUGGACCUCGGCAGCGGCGAGCCCAAGGAGAUCAUGGACCUCAUCAGCGGCAAGCCGAUGGAGACCAUAGGCCUCGGCAGCGGCGAGCUCGAGGACUAUCCCUUCGUGAGGCGGCUCCGCAACCGGCGGCUCCUCGUCUACCUCUGGCUCCAGGGCUUCGACGCUGCUUACGAUAGGCUGCAUUUGCGGCAGCUGGUGGUCUGGGGCCGGUGGAGCGAAGCCCUCGACUACAUAAGUCGCUUCCUGCCGCCGGUGCUCAACGACUGGAGCCUCGAUGCCCGUUCCCUCCUCUUCUUCCUCCACACGCUCUGGGCUCUGGCCAACGUCGCCGCGUGCUCGACGGGCGGCCUUGUGAACGACUCUGUGCACAGCGACCUCAGCUUCCUGGGGACACUUUCCAGUACCAACGCCAAGCUCUCCUCCAUCCUACGAUACACACUCCACUCGCCGCAGUUCAGGGAGUCUCUGGACUGGAUGCUGGUGAGGAAGAAGGCAUCGUUGAUUGUCGAUGACUGGGCUCUUGAGACUCCGGAAUUGAGGCGCAAGAUGCAAUUGCCCGGUGGUCCAGGUCUCCCGCGGGACUUGCUUCCCAUCGGCCCCCUUUGCCCAAGGCGUCACCGGAGGGAACAAUCCCGGCGGGCAAAAGCAUCUACGAUUGCCAAGUCUUAUCUCAACAGGAAGAGGAGUCUGCCGCCUACAAGCCCACAUCCUGCAGGAUUGCCCAAAGAUGCACUCAGACGGGUGGCAGAUCUUAUUGAGGGAUGUUUAAGAGCUGGUAAACUUCUGGAGCUCCAUCAAGGGUGCCCGCUUCAAUCAAAUGCAAAGGGAGGUGCUUCUGAUACUCCACUUCUGCAGACCAUGUUUGGUACCGUAACAAAUCCUGCUAAAAACACUGGGACCUCAUCAGUGACAAAUGCAGGUGCUGCCGUCUCACGGCCUAUUAAAAUCCCUUGGAUCACAUCUCCCACAAAUGCAGGCCCAAUCAAGCAUUCUAGAAAAGAUGGGUGCUAUAGCAACAGUGCUGGUCAGGGUUCUGUUGGAAGAAAAAAAAGAGAAGAUUUGAUGACUGAGGAAGAUGAUCCUGAUAGAAAAAGGCAACGGACUGAACUGGAGUUGCUGACUGAAGUGGAAGCUGGAUCUUGCGGCCAGUUGCUGACUGAAGUGGAAGCUGGAUCUUGCGGCGCCAACUUGAUGGCCAACUGA